CUCCAGAAAAAAANCGCCAACCGACCGCGCCAAAAUGGCCAACGAUGUUGGUUGUGUCGUGCGACCCUAAGCGCGCAUAUUCGCCACGUUCCCGUAUAAAGNCCACGUGAAUAGACCGCGCCGCACUGAGCCUCGUAUUUGUCGGUCGGACUCAGAUUACGCUGAGGGGAUGGCUGUCUCGGGAGUCAUUGGCUGGCNUCCUUCUCCGGGCUGCUGCCUCCUCCUGCUGCCAGCUCCGCGCACUUUUCNAUGGGAAGAGCUGGGGAGGCAGCGGCACCAGACUAAGCCCCGUACGGUUCUUCCAUGCCUCGGCGCGGCUGAGAAAUGGUGCAUCCAUCAGAUCUUUUUGGUUCUCCAGCAGCUUGGGCAGAGAGAGAGAGCAGGAAAGGCUCUAUGGCUUUAGAGUCUAUGUUUGGCUUGGAGUAGAAUCUUUCAUAAAAUUUAGCCAUUACCUCGGGGAUGUGAGAUGGAGAAUGAACUAUAUUGUCCUGGACAUCUUUAAGCUUAACUAUUAGAUAAAGAUAAAGAUUUCUGCUUCAUAUAGGAAGCCAUCUAUUUUGAAGGUUUAUUUCCUUCUCUGUAAAGUCUAUGUUUAAAAUAAAAUAUAGUUUUUAAAAUUUUAUUGUGUCCA
rnacentral:lncRNA from 1 species